rnacentral:rRNA from 1 species
UACGAGAGGCCCAAAACGUUUAUUCGGAUUUACUGGGCUUAAAGAGUUCGUAGGCGGUGCAGAAAGUGGGGGUGUGAAAGCCCUCGGCUCAACCGAGGAAUUGCGCUCCAAACUACUGUACUCGAGGAAGCUAGAGGUGAGCAGAACAGAUGGUGGAGCGGUGAAAAUGCGUUGAUAUCAUCUGGAAUCCGGAGGCGAAGGCGGCUCACUGGGGGCUUUUCUGACGCUGAGGAACGAAAGCCAGGGUAGCGAACGGG